UUGUUUUAUUCACCAGUGCUACAGCUCUGGAGUUCUACAACAAAGUGCAGAAGUGGCUGCAGCCUGCAGCUGGCAUCUCUCCUCUGCUGGCACUGGAAGUGGGUGACUGAGCCCCAGGUUCUCUGCUUGCUCCUGCUCACAGGAAUGCUGGCGCCUUUUGUCAGAAGCCCUUCAGUGUUGCAGUCUGCUCCAGGAUAACAAACCCUACUGGAGAAAUACUCACCACUCCCAACUGCUUCUGCCUUCCCGUGGCUGAAACCCUUGUGGUGGGAGUGGCCCAAGGAGAGCAGCUGGCUGGGGAAGCACCAGCGAACCCCAGAGAAACUGGGACAUCUUCACCCACUCGAACCCCUGUCAAAGCACCUUCUGCAUCAAAGGCGCGGACCUGCCACCUGCCGUUUCACAGAAGACGAUUCCGGCCACUUCGCCCUCCAGUCCACCUCCACUUCAACACUUUGCAGCGUCACACAGCAUACUGGCACGCAGUGGUAGAAACAAAGCCUGAUGUGGCCAAUUCAUGGCCGUGACUGUGUAGGUUCAGAAGGGUUGUUUUCUUACUGUAUUUUCUUGCCAGACCUUGGUGCGCUAAGGCCACACAAUCUCAGCAGUCACUUGCAUUGUUUAACGAUAGCUCUCUUGUAUUAAAGUUGCAAUAAUGACUGAACCCACAUAAAAUUAAUCUUAACCCACCCUUCCUUGGAAAGGAACAUCAAGACUUAGAGACAGAAAAGUCACCAUUGGGCAAUUAAAGUCUUUGCAGAAAAGCACAUCCCUGCACAAAUCAGAUCUCAGCUGUCUUACUCCAGAACCUGCACCACCACAGGUGAAAUCAGAAAUGAUUCGUAGAACCAGACUUAGAAUAGUACUUUUCUCUCAUUU